rnacentral:rRNA from 1 species
UAGAAAAGCCCAGCAGCGAGUUGACAUGGUGCCCGUACCCCAAACCAACACAGGUGGACAGGUAGAGCAUACCAAGGCGAGUGGGAUAACUAUGGUUAAGGAACUCGGCAAAUUGCCUCUGUAACUUCGGGAGAAGGAGGACCCCAGUAGCGUGAUGAGACUUGCUCUCUGAGCGUGAAGGGGUGGCACAAAAUUGAGGGAAGCGACUGUUUACCAAAAACACAGCAGCGUGCUAAGCCGUAAGGCGCUGUAUACGCUGUGACUCCUGCCCGGUGCUGGAAGGUUACGGGGAUGGGUUAGUCCUUCGGGACGAAGCUCUGAACCUAAGCCCCAGUAAACGGCGGCCGUAACUAUAACGGUCCUAAGGUAGCGAAAUUCCUUGUCGGGUAAGUUCCGACCUGCACGAAUGGAGUAACGACUUCCCUACUGUCUCAACCAUAGACCCAGCGAAAUUGAAGUACGAGUAAAGAUGCUCGUUAGCUGCAGAAGGACGGAAAGACCCCGUGGACCUUUACUAUAACUUGAUGUUGUGUUUUGUCAUAUGUUGUGUAGGAUAGGUGGGAGACUUGGAAGCAUGGACGCUAGUCUGUGUGGAGUCAUCGUUGAAAUACCACCCUGCAUAUGGUGAGGCUCUAACCUAGACCCGUUAUCCGGGUUGGGGACAGCGUCAGGCGGGUAGUUUAACUGGGGCGGUUGCCUCCUAAAGAGUAACGGAGGCGCCCAAAGGUUCCCUCAGCCUGGUUGGCAAUCAGGCGUUGAGUGCAAUGGCAAAAGGGAGCUUGACUGCGAGACCUACAAAUCGAGCAGGAGCGAAAGCUGGGCAUAGUGAUCCGGCGGUUGCGUGUGGAAGCGCCGUCGCUCAACGGAUAAAAGGUACCCCGGGGAUAACAGGCUAAUCUUGCCCAAGCGUCCAUAGCGACGGCAAGGUUUGGCACCUCGAUGUCGGCUCAUCGCAUCCUGGGGCUGAAGCAGGUCCCAAGGGUUGGGCUGUUCGCCCAUUAAAGCGGUACGCGAGCUGGGUUCAGAACGUCGUGAGACAGUUCGGUCCCUAUCCUCUGCAGCCGGAGGUGAAUUGAGGAAAGCUGUCCCUAGUACGAGAGGACCGGGACGGACGCAGCUCUCGUGUGCCAGUUGUCCUGCCAAGGGCAUGGCUGGUUAGCGACCUGCGGAAAGGAUAACCGCUGAAAGCAUCUAAGCGGGAAGCCUCUUCCAAGAUGAAUUCACCCACAGGGUUAACCUGGUAAGGCCCGUGGUAGACCACCACGUUGAUAGGCCGGAAGUGUAAGCGUGGCAACACGUUCAGCUGACCGGUACUAAUCGGCCGAGGGCUUGAGUUG